rnacentral:rRNA from 1 species
AUCGAACGCUGGCGGCAGGCCUAACACAUGCAAGUCGAACGGUGAACGAGGGAGCUUGCUCCCUCCGGAUCAGUGGCGAACGGGUGAGUAACACGUGAGCAAUCUGCCCUGGACUCUGGGAUAAGCGUUGGAAACGACGUCUAAUACCGGAUACGAGACGCGAAGGCAUCUUCAGCGUCUGGAAAGAACUUCGGUCCAGGAUGAGCUCGCGGCCUAUCAGGUAGUUGGUGAGGUAACGGCUCACCAAGCCUACGACGGGUAGCCGGCCUGAGAGGGUGACCGGCCACACUGGGACUGAGACACGGCCCAGACUCCUACGGGAGGCAGCAGUGGGGAGUAUUGCACAAUGGGCGCAAGCCUGAUGCAGCAACGCCGCGUGAGGGACGACGGCCUUCGGGUUGUAAACCUCUUUUAGCAGGGAAGAAGCGAAAGUGACGGUACCUGCAGAAAAAGCACCGGCUAACUACGUGCCAGCCGCCGCCGUAAGAC